UUAAAUUACAGACAUAUGGUCGCUCAUCUGAACGCUGAAACGAUCUCUGUUUGUCAAAAGAGGAACUGGCCAGGUGUGUUCCAGAUCCCACCCCCGCUCGGAGUAACUGAAGGAUCUGGGACACAUUAAGAAUUGUCUGGUUUUUGUAUACUGACCGGACUGGCGAGCUAACCAUAACGGAUUCAGAAAGUCACCCAUAAUCUGAGGAAACAUCUCCAAACCGGAAGGAAAAUUCAACCAACCACUUCACAGCUGGAACUAAAUGACUAUUUUUGUUUUUUCCCUUUCGUCACCGACAGAGACUUCCUUGGUUUAAGGAACUGGACUUUAAAGCUGUGAAACAAUUUGUAUAUAUUGUAAAUAUAAAUACACUUCAUUGAUUUUGCACUC